CUGUAGUCCUGCCGAAAACAUCCCCCUUGCUUGACUGGCGGGGAAUCCGAGGCCCGGUGGAGGGGGGCGGGGGACAGCUGGGCCCCAGAGGGCUCAGUGCAUCAGGGACGGAGCCCAGCUGGAGGCCCGUGUGCCCGUGCUCAGUUCUGCCCCUUCUGGGCUUUGGCACAGAGUGUGGAGAACCCUAGAGUGCCAGCUGGUGCGAGGACAGAGCAGUGGAGACAAGGACAGCCCAGAGUGGUCAGCGCAGGGGUCUGGGGGAGCACAGAGGAGACCCCCAACUCAGCCAGGUAGAAUGGGCUAAGAUGCCUAGAGAAGGUGAGGCCGCAGAGGACCCCCUGCAGACCCCCUGUGGCUGGACCACAUCUGGCGGGUCCUGUGCCCUGCGGAGGGCCCCUCACCCUCUUGGCCCCAGCCCAUCCCAGCUCAACUUCUGGAACAUUCCCUGCUGUCAGGAUGGCACCAUCUGAGCCCACCUCUGCCUUUGCUCUCCUUGCACCGAGAGACCAGGUUGGGGAUUUCCUCCAACGGGCUGGCUGUCCCGCCGCCCCCAGCCCCAGCCCCAGCCCCCGACCCUCGGCAGGGCAGUGCUGGUGGCCUGUUGGCUGAGGAGAGGCUGAGGGAGGCCUCAAGUGCAGGCUGAGAAGGGAGCGAGGGGUCCCCACGUGGGGUCCAGUGGGUGCGCGCCUCUGAGGCCGAGGUCCCGUCCAAGGGCAGCAGGCUCCGUGGAUGGAAAGGUUCCAAGGGCCAUUUGGUGGUCUUGUCCGUGGUCUUGGCGGAGUCUUGCGUGCUAGGACUGGGUGCAGAUGGGAAUUGGGGGGGGGGGCAAGGGUGGGGUUCAGCCAUGGGAGGGCAAGAAGGGAGGUAGGAGGGGGAGGAGGGGGCUGGAAGGAGGUGGGUUCUCAGGACAGGGAGGAGGGACAGGAAGACGGGAGGGAGGCCGAGCUGGGGACCUCAGCGGUGGGGCGGUGGGUGGGCCAGGGCAUCUCCUGGGAAAGCGGCCGAAGCCACCACAAGGCUGGGCUUUCCCGAGGACACUCGGGGGGCUUCAACUGUUGGCAGCAUUGACCGACCUGGGAGCUCUGUGGGAGGCAGGUCCGUGUGGCCCACGGGUGCCCGUCUGUCAUCACGGGCGUAGGUCAUCGUGUGUGGACUGCAGGUCAACACUCUCAAGCCUCCGGCGUGGCUGGCUCCUCCCCAAAGGCCCUGUCUUCACCCUGGGAGAAGUCUGAAGGAGAGGGGCCGGCGGUCACCAAUGCCCCUCUGCUCCCCAGUCUUCUUACUUGGGAGUGGGACUAGCCUGGGGCAAUCUGCAGACAGGGCCCCCCACAGAGGCCACAGCCUCGUCCCAGCCCCAUGGCACUCUGGGAGCUGCAGGAAAGCCCCGGUCAGCGGGGUGCGCAAGAGGAGGUGUGAGCAGGUGGCAGGUCCCCCCCACCCAGGGUGGCAGGUAAUGGCAUCCCACGACCUCAGUCGCUGCCUCCUCCCCCCAGGGCCCUGACGGGUGGGCCGGACAUUAGGGUCCCCAUCAGGUGGCAGAAGAGCCCCCCUGGGUCUCCUGCUCUGGCCCCAGGGGAGCCGGGGGUGAGCUUGGGGUGAUGGCCAGCGGGAGCAGGACGGCCCAAGGAUGGGUGCGGGGUGGGGGGUCAGGAUGUAGGCCGGUGCCCCUCCAGCCCAGUCUGGGGCUGCCCCGGCAGCUUGGGGCCGGCCCCCUCCACUCCCAACAAAGACUGGCCGGGAGGAGAGAGCCUGUUUGUUCAGUGCUGGGGCUGGGGCUGGGGUGGGGGCGGGUAUGGGGAAGGGGGGGGGGCAGGAAGCAGAAUUUCAAAGCGGCUUCACCCUUUGUUACCCCUUCCUGGCCCCGCCCCCCACACCCCAGGCUGCACAUUCCAGAACUGGAGGGGGUCCUGCCCCGGGAGAAAUCCGCUUAACCGAAGGCUCUCGGGUUACAGCCUAGCUGCUCCGGGAGGUGCCGGAAUGCCCAGCCCGACAUUCCGGAUGGCGGGUGUCCGGGUCCACCCCGUCCCCACCCUUGGAACCUCUCCAGGCCUCAGGCCCCAGGAGGGAGGGGAAGGAGCUGGAAAGAGGGGCGGGUGGUGGUGGUGGGGUGGGGGCUGCAGGCUCAUGUAGAUGAUGGAGAGAGGGGUCUGGGUUGUGUUUCCAGUACGGUCAGCCCCGGAUCUGACCUCAGACGAGGCUCGCAAGAUGCCUCCUGAUGUGGACGAGGUGGGCUGGGCUGAGGUGGGCUUUUUUCCUUUCCAAAUAGGGCCAACCGCGCUCUCUUAUUGCCCGUACUUCCUUGAGGUGUACUUUACACGGGUUAAAAUUCUCCAGUUUUGCGUGCACGGCUCCACACUGUCUCACAUCGGUGUCACCGCAUGACCGCCACCUUGAAGGAGAUACUGAACGUUCCCAGCCCUCCAGAGGGUUCCCUAGCGCCCCCUCCCCAGGCGGGAACCGGGAGUCUGACCUCCAUGACCACAGACACUCUUGCCCGUCUACACAAACACACUGGGAGUGUGCGCUCCGGUCCCUCAGCAUGGUAUCUCCGAGAUCCUUCGCUUCGCUCCAGCUUGUCCUUUUCUCAUUGCUCAGUUUAUUUCAUUGUUUGUCCCUUCUGUCCCUGGCUGUCCCAGUUCGCUUCUGGUCCCAGGCUCUGAGGAAGCUGCUCUGAACAUCCAUGGACCUGUCUUCUUGUGGAGGGACUUGAUGGGACGCUUUUCUUUAUUCCUCCAUUCUGGCCUAGGAGCACACAGAGCCCCAGGGCCUUUGCACUUGCUGUUCCCGCUUCUGAAAUUCUUUGUUCUCUGUCCUUGGUGUCACAGCAUUCCUUCUCAUCCUUCAGGUCACCUUCCCAGAGAGGCCCUGGCCUACCACCUGGUCUACUAAUGUCCCCCGGUCCUUCCUUCUUUGGUUUUGUGGCACUUGUUGCCACGGGCGACCAUCUUAUCCUUGUACUCGCUUCCUGGGUGCCAGGCCCCUCCUGGAAGCUUCCUGCUCUCUGAAGGUGGGCACUUCUGCCUUGUGUAUCCCAGGGGCCAGCAUGGCUUUGAGUAGUGAUCAAUCAGACACGUGCAGGUGCCUCUGUAGGGAGGUAGGGACUCCCCUGGGGAGUAGGUUCCCCUGCGGAGGUUCCUUGUAGCCAUGACCCUUGACCCAGGAGGCCUGCCAAGGAAGGGGUGGGAACCAAGGAGGGGUGGGAGUUGUGUGGGCCACCUCCAUACCUUACUUAUCUUUUGGCUAAUGGUUUGCCAGCGGUGUGGUGUUAAGAGGGGAGGAGGGGAGGGUGCGGCAGGAGGCCAGCCUUGCCCCUCACCCCUGCCUCGACCUGAGCUGCUCAGCAUUCGACCGACCGUUUCACAAUCGUAGGUGCAGGAGGAAAGUCUCUCUGCUAAAAUGGGAGGUUUGGAAACCACUGCCGGAGGCAACGGGGAGCCAUCGAGGGUGUGUAAGGAGGGGAGUGAUACCGAAGGAGCCACCAGUAGAGCCUGGGUUGGUAGAAAGAAGGGCCGGACUUCGCCCCAUUUGCCAACAGCCUACCAGGGGCCGGGCUGGGCAACCGCAACCCCUAUUUGCAAGGUUGCUUUACGCCUGGGAACGGAGCGGGGAAAGACCCACAAGUCCUCGGAGCUGGGCAAGUUCAGCCAGUUGGGGUCGACAGCGGGGAGCCGCAGAGCCUGCUCCGAACUUGGGGGGGGUCCGCAUCCCCACAAAAGCCAUUAGUGCUAAAAGCAAACGCGUGGACGUCACGCCUUCCAACAGGAUAUGGGGGCCCUGCUCCUGAGCUCUGUCCUGUGGGCUAAAGGGAUGGAAGGGGAAAGGCAGGUGCUCACGGUCAGUGGCCAGCUGGUUAGAGGCAAGGACAGGCGAGAAGCAGGUGUCCCAAAUGCAAGACAGAGCUGGCUCCUCUCGCACCGCCCUUCCCCAAACCUGCCCCUUCCAGCCCUGGUAUAGGGUCCACUCUCCACGAGUUCCUCCUUUGUUUCCCUACUGGGGGGCCACCCGGGGGGGGGUGCAGACAAACCAGGAUAACCUCUCCCUCUGAAGACCCUUAAUGUAAUCACAUCUUUGAUGUCCCUGGUGCCUUGUAAGGUAACAUUCACAGAUUCCAGGCAUUAUGACCUGGAUGUCUUUAGGGGAGAUUAUUCAGGCCACCCCCAUUGCCCUGGCGAUUCCAGAUAGUGUCCUGAGAAACCCUAGUCUGUAGGUUUGUUUAUUUAACUGAUGGCUGCUCUCUCAUGAUUCUCUGAGCUUACAGAAAUGGGGCACCAUUCAGCAUUUAUUUAACAAGCCCUCAUGAAGCUCCCGCGCGGUGCCGAGCCCUGUUCUGGAUGCUGUGGACAUUAAGGUGAGGUGGACCCAGCCCUCAUGCUCUGAGUCUGGGAAAGAGAGGGAGGGAGAGAGAGAGAGAUCAGGCUCCUGCCUGCUCUCCCCCAUCCACCCCACCCUCCCCAGUUCUGGGGCCACCCCAGCUCCAGGGUGGGCCUUGUUUUCUGUAAGCCAGCUCCUUACCAGUUGUUCGGCUCAGGAGUUCUGUUCUAAGCCAACCAGUGCCCAGCAUCUCCGGAGACCUGGGCUGCCGCGUUCAGAAGGGAGGACUUUGGACCAAUGGCGGUGGGAUGCCCUCUCUCCCUCCUGUUGGACUCAAGCAGGUGGCCUCCACUGUUCCCUGGGGAUUAAGCUUUAUGCUGAAGAACGGACAGCGCCCCCUCCCAUCCCCCCCCCCCCCCCCCCCCGGGCCACCGGGUACGUCUCGUUCUGAUGUCCUUACUGCUAAUGCCAGCCUGAGUCAGGAUGCCUGCUCCUUGCCCCCAGAAGCAUCCUCACUGACACCGCCCGCGUGUGGAAAAGCCAGCCAGUUGUCCGGCUGGCCUGCCCUGUGUGACCUUGAGACUGCUCGGAUCCCGGCCACCCUCUCCUCCUUGUCACCUCCCGUUUGCCUGUGCGCCAUUCCCCAGACGCACCCUCCCCCGCCACUCCCUUUGCUCCAGCCCUUGGGUUCUUUGUCCUACAAGGUGCUGCUCAGCCUUUAGCUUCAGCUUCCCAACCUCCCAGGCUAGAAAAACCAUGGAGAUAAAGGCUCCCCAACGGAGGCGAGCCCCCACGGGGGCCAGGAACUGCCUAAGGCCUUUGUGACCUCAUCCACCACGAAGCAAGUACUGUUAUUAUCACCCCAUUUUACAGACAAGAGGUGAGAGUCCAGACGGGCCGACCGGAGGUCUGCCCGCCUCCAAGCCCAUGCUGGAAAUGAACCAUCAGCCCUGGCUUUCUUCUUUCGCCCGCGGGAUCAGCAUUCGGAUCCCCAUCCUUGGACAGCCCUUGCCCCUCGGCCCUCCCGUACCCCAGGAGGCUAAGUUUGCUGAGGACAGCGGCUCGGAGAGGAGGACCUCCUUGCCACCUCUUGAAGGGUAAACUUACAGACAGCACCCGCCACAGCGGCGUGCUGAGAAACACACCAACACCAGCUGCUGGGGGAGGCCGGCCAGGAGGGGGCUUCGGGCGGGGUGGCCACAGACGGACGCUCCAGCUACAGACUGAGGCAACCGCUCGCCGCCAUUCCUGUGUAUAUGCCUACCGCAACCUCAAAUCCCGUGCCAUCUUGGCCAAGUUAUAAAAGCUGCUCCUACGGCAACACUCAUUUAAUCUGGCGACGGCUAAGAUCAAAUCGAGUGCUUCCCGGGAUCGGAACCCCCUGCUAACCACUCUGUGUCCUUGACCUCGCUGGACUGCAACCUGGAGAGGAGCAUGCCUUUACAGUCCUCCUUACACAGAGGGUCAGAGACGGUGGGUGAACCAUUCAAGGUCACCCUGCUUGGGAGGGGCAGAUACAGGAUUAGAACUCAGGCCUUCCGGUCCAGACCAGAGUGUUUCCACUGAAUACUCCCAUAUAUUGCUGCCCCCAGGAAGCAAUGUGGUCCUCAGGAAGUGGGGGGGGG